AUUUCUGUAGUGUAUUGGUCAUCACGUGCGCUUCACACGCGCAAGGUCCCCAGUUCGAUCCUGGGCCAAUACA
rnacentral:tRNA from 1 species